rnacentral:rRNA from 1 species
CAUGGGGUGCAAACGUUGCUCGGAAUUAUUGGGCGUAAAGCGCGCGUAGGCGGUUAUCUAAGUUGGAUGUGAAAGCCCUCGGCUUAACUGAGGAAGUGCACCCAAAACUGGAUAGCUGGAGUACGAAAGAGGGUCGCGGAAUUCCCGGUGUAGAGGUGAAAUUCGUAGAUAUCGGGAGGAACACCGGUGGCGAAGGCGGCGACCUGGGUCGAGACUGACGCUGAGGCGCGAAAGCGUGGGGAGCAAACAGGAUUGGAUACCCUGGUAGUCCACGCCGUAAACGAUGGGUGCUAGAUGUUUCUGGUAUUGACCCCGGAGGCGUCGUAGCUAACGCGUUAAGCACCCCGCCUGGGGAGUACGGCCGCAAGGCUA